CUGCAUUUUGCAUGAGCUAUCUAGGUCAUUAGCAUUUUAGCGUAUGCAAGACUUGACAAGGCUGAUGAGGGGCCAGAUGGGCCUCGCUCUUAUUUAUUUAUUUUUUUUUUCUUUUCCUUUUUCCCAUCCACCACUUGGGACCUAAGCGAGAGGACCGCAGCAGGAGAGUUCCGGAAGGCUGAUUCCCACAGAUCCUGGUAAGGGACCGCAGCAGCUCUGCCCUGCGGCACGCCCGGCCAGGCUACACCCGGACCCUACACUCAAGGAAAAAGCUUGGAAACGAAAGGAUGCGGGAGAACAAAGAGCCUACGGAGGACGUGGCUGUUAUCUCAUUGUCUGUGACUGGGGGAGCUGCGGUAGGAAGGAUGCGGUGGUCCUUAGCUCAUCGCGUUCCCCAACCCCACACCCUCCCUGCUGUCAGUGCGCACGCACACGCACGCGUCGCCAGCUUUUUCUUUCUCAUCUCUCAUUUUUUUCAUCUCAUCUUCUCCCCAUCCCCUCCCUUUCUUUCCACCUUUCCUUCCUUUCUUCCUCCCUUCCUUUCUCCCAUCCUCCCUCUCUUCCAUCCUUCCUUCCUUUCCAUCCUUCCUUCUUUCUUUCCUUCCUUCCUUCUUUCUUUCCUUCCUUCCUUCUUCCUUCCUCAGGAGAAAGGCCUCUCUCUCCGUGUUCACAGCGGACCUUGAU
ensembl:lincRNA Mir124a-1hg Mir124-1 host gene (non-protein coding)